rnacentral:rRNA from 1 species
UGACGCUGGCGGAAUGCUUUACACAUGCAAGUCGAACGGCAGCACGGGGGCAACCCUGGUGGCGAGUGGCGAACGGGUGAGUAAUACAUCGGAACGUGCCCAGUCGUGGGGGAUAACUACGCGAAAGCGUAGCUAAUACCGCAUACGAACUCAGGUUGAAAGCGGGGGAUCGCAAGACCUCGCGCGAUUGGAGCGGCCGAUGGCAGAUUAGGUAGUUGGUGGGGUAAAGGCUCACCAAGCCGACGAUCUGUAGCUGGUCUGAGAGGACGACCAGCCACACUGGGACUGAGACACGGNCCAGACUCCUACGGGAGGCAGCAGUGGGGAAUUUUGGACAAUGGGCGCAAGCCUGAUCCAGCCAUUCCGCGUGCAGGAUGAAGGCCCUCGGGUUGUAAACUGCUUUUGUACGGAACGAAACGCGCCGGGCUAAUACCCUGGCGUAAUGACGGUACCGUAAGAAUAAGCACCGGCUAACUACGUGCCAGCAGCCGCGGUAAUACGUAGGGUGCAAGCGUUAAUCGGAAUUACUG